rnacentral:rRNA from 1 species
AAUGAACGCUGGCGGCGCGCCUAAUACAUGCAAGUCGAGCGAGAAGACGUAGCAAUACGUUUGUAAAGCGGCGAACGGGUGAGGAAUACAUGGGUAACCUACCCUAGAGUGGGGAAUAACUAGCCGAAAGGUUAGCUAAUACCGCGUACGCUCCUUGGACUUCGGUUCAGGGAGGAAAGCGAUACCGAGGGUAUCGCGCUCUUGGAUGGGGCUCAUGUCCUAUCAGCUUGUUGGUGAGGUAACGGCUCACCAAGGCUUCGACGGGUAGCUGGUCUGAGAGGACGAUCAGCCACACUGGCACUGCGACACGGGCCAGACUCCUACGGGAGGCAGCAGUAAGGAAUAUUGCGCAAUGGGCGAAAGCUUGACGCAGCGACGCCGCGUGGGGGAUG